rnacentral:rRNA from 1 species
CGCGUAGGCGGCUUUAUAAGUCUGGAGUGAAAGUCCUCUUUUCAAGGGAGGAAUUGCUUUGGAAACUAUAGAGCUUGAGUGCAGGAGAGGUUAUCGGAAUUCCCGGUGUAGCGGUGAAAUGCGUAGAUAUCGGGAGGAACAUCGGUGGCGAAGGCGGGUAACUGGACUGCAACUGACGCUGAGGCGCGAAAAUGUGGGGAGCAAACA